CUCCAGUGCCAGGAAGACUGAGAGGAAUGCAGCCGGUUUGGAGGCUGGGAAUCUGGGUUUGGAGCCACAGGGGGGGCUUGGCCCAAGGCACCGAGUUCAUGAGCCUGUGAAGGCUGCAGUGCCCAGCAGCAGGAAGAGGGCAAAGUAGAGCAAGUAAGAAGGACUCGGAUACAAACACAGCUGAUGUGUCCCUGAAAACUCAAGGAUAAUCGGGUCAGAGAUUUCGCAGGGAACGGAACUUGUUUACGUGUAUUAGACAUCAUGGUCAAGAGGAAAGAGCUUCUGGCUGUAGAGUCAGACCUGUCUGAGGACAGAUCCCAGGUCCAUCCCUCACUAGAUGCAAUGAGGAUCUCCUGCAAUAUCAUUUCUUUUCUCACAUCUAGAAGCACUUAAUACUUAAGCACAUGAUGCUUAAGAUUUGGAGCAGUACACAUACAGAAGAGAGCAGAAAUGAUAAUGCCUAGUGAACACCAACAACACAUUCUUCUAAGUAAAUGGACACAGUUAAUAUACAUGAAGAUGAAAGAAUGACUUCGAGCAUUUAUUCAAUCAUGUUCUGGGCUACCUAUGAACAACAAAGAUAUUUACAACACUGAGCAGAGGGAAGACCCUUCCAGCCUCAUGUGCCAAAGUCCUAUCAGAAAUUGCUUCAAGAAAGCAAGUGCCUGAUUUUACAUUUGAGUAAUUGUCUGACUACCGAAUUGUUUCUUAUCAACCAUCAGCAGCUUUUCCGUAGGAGCCUAAGAAGCAGAGCACAGACCCCCCCCCCCCCCCCCCCCCCCCGCCCGGUCUGCAGCCGGCUGAGGUAAGGAUCAUUAACACCACUGACAUCACUUUUGGCAGCCAGAGAAAAGGGAAAACCUGUGUUUAAUCUACUUCCUACUCACCACAAGUUUCAGCUGGAGUCCCCGAUACUAUGGGUUGUGGUUGAAUUUAUGGAAGAACUUGGUAAUGCAAGAAAAAUGUACUGCACUGAACAAGCAUCUUUAAAAGGAACCAUGAGGUACCUCAGAUGUGUGGCCCUGAUCUUCUGGAGGUAUUCUGGUCAUUAAACGGGCCUCACGGAGGCCAGGGCCAUUCCCAACUGUUCCCAGAAAGGUCAAGCUCAAUAGAAGACUUUCCCUACUGCACACAUCUAGUUAACACCUCCUGGAGGCCAUCAGCAUAAAUCACAAAGAGAAAAGUUUUAUCUUUUGUCUUCCUUCUUGCCUUGAGAACACUAAGGGGAGGUUCGUGGGGGAAGAAUUUAAUCUAGAUUCUUCAAAGUAAACUGAGCUGUUGCUAUUUCUGGGGUCUAAAGGAUGAAUGAAAACUGUCUGAAACCAAUCGAAACUGGUCAUCAAUAUAGAAGUAUAGGGCAGCAUAUUUUAAUUGUAUUCAUGCACUAUUAUGACUUUUUCUACCUUAAGAAUUCCUGUUAAAGAAGUGCAAGUCAUAAAGAUUUCUGGGCUAUGAAAGCAAGUGUUAAAAGUCAAUGUGAAGGAGGAUACUCGAAACUACCCCAUCCAUACUAGGCUACAGAAGGCCACAGGUGGGACCUCCAUGUAACUGGGUUAUGUUUAUGAGAAGCCGUAACAUGGCUUGCAAUAAAGUAAUGCAAUCUUGAGUUACCACUCCCUGAGUGAGGAGUAUCCU